GAAUUUGUUAUAUUUUUCCUUCUUUGAAAUUUUUUGUUUCUUUCCCUUUAUUUUCUGUUUCAAUGUGUUAUCAACACACAUGACAUUAAAUGUACAUUUUCUGUCUCACCCUAACGGUAUUUCAAUGAACUGUUCAGUGUUAUGUGUACAGAUAAUUUAUUUUUCUUUAAAAUUCCAUAAACAUGUCAAAUUCUUGUCCACAGUGAAGACCAUGUACUAUAAAAACUUCCAUUUCAUUAAAGUGACGAUGACAUCUGAAACAUAGAUCUUUUCAUUUAAAUGAUCUUGAAUGGGAGAUAAUCAAUUGAAAGUGAUUUAGUUUUUUUUCCAAAGGAGAAGUGACACAAGAUCUGCUUUUACCACUAUUAAAAUAGGUCUUUAACGUCAAAUUCACUUUUAUGAAAACAGAUGGCACUUGUGCUUAGGGUUUUUUAAUAAAUAUUUUAUUUACACAAAACUCCACCUAGUAUACGCAAUAUAUAUUUUUGUUAUAAUGCCCUACAUCUAGUCAAGGUGACUUUGAGUUUAUCCAGAGCGUAUUUUAAACUUUCUACAUAUGUAUUUGCCUUUUAAUUUCCUGUUCUGCUUAAAGAAGUGUACUGUCUGAUAGAAUGUUUGUGUAAAUCUGUAACGCUAAUUUUGUUUUUAAAAAAAGAAGCAUAUGAGGAAAUUGUAUGGAACAAUUGCUUACAUUCAGAAGCAAGAAAUUGAUAUUUUAAAAAUCUAUUGUGUUUUUUGUGUACACUUUAUAAAGCCAUGCACAUAGAUUUAUAUUUGAGUAAGGUUGUGGACUUUACAAUUGUUUAUCUCUUUAUUGCCUUCCAACUCUGUAAUAAAUUGUUAAGCUG
rnacentral:sRNA from 1 species